GCCAAGAAGACAACAUAUAUAAUAACAAAGUGUAUAGAGAUAAAUGUCAUAAUACAUCAGAGUAUUUAUUACAUAGCGGAAGUCUUAUUACAAAAUAAAGAUAAAUAUAAAACGAACUAAGGAUCGUCGGCGCCAAUGUCGACUGAGAAACGCCACCUAGAUCAAGUCGAAUGCCUCAGUGUUAGGCGACUCCUCUUUGACCACCUGUUCUUCUCCUGUGGGGGGUGUGAGACAGCAAGAGUGAGCUCACAUACGUUCAUAGCUCAACAAGUCAUGGGGAAUAAUGUGACACGAACUCACCAAAGGUGGGAGUUCAUGAAGUGUAAGGCUAUUCAAUGAAAUAGAGGCUGAGGCUGAGCAUUGCUUUUAUAAGUUGGUCAAAAUUUUAUUAGCAAUUACUAAGUGUAAGUAAAUACCAAACCUUAAUAAUAAUAAAGAAAAGUAUUAGUAAAAUAAUCCCAAAUGCGAUGCAAAUGUCAAAUUAAAUUUAAGUUCCAUAAAUUAAUCAUGUGAGGGUCCGAGCCGCUCAUGACCGUGAGCACGGCUAGUAUACCAGUUUUACACUCUGCAGAGGUUGCGCAUCUUUACCCACAAGUCAUGUUACCCAUCUGCCAAGAGAUGGCCAAUCCCAUACACCUCUACCGAGGAGGCGAGGCAGGGUAACACUACGAGGCCUUUACAAAGUUCCACUAGCUUCAGAAAUCCCGCUACAGUUUAUAGGAAGCUCCAAUGCAGGGUUCUUGCCUGACCGCCAUCGCAGCAAAAUCAACCAAGGACCUCCCUACACUGACCACUCCCCUACUGCCCUUGCCCCUUUCGGGUAAGGAAGACCUCCACUAGCUUUCCUAGUUAAUCAGCCAAGGGCGUCCCAUUAUACCCUUGUGGUAGCACUGUUUUCCCGGGUGGUCGCUCCAUGUUCCCAUUAAUUUAAUGAUCUUAACAUGAACAGUAAUAAUAACAAGAUAAUAACAGAAUAAUCAUGAAUAGUGUAUCUUCAUACCCAAAUCCACAUAAAGCAAUAGCAGGUACUACCCAAAGAAAUAUUUCAGUGGUGAACAAGGUAUAAAGAUAGCCAAAACUAGGGUAACCUAUUGGGUCCCAUCAAAAUUAACCUAUGCAGAUCAUUAUAAUUAAUAAGAACAUGGCUGGGAAAAGUAAGUGAUCAAGGGCACAACUUGCCUUCAAUGAGCUCCUGCUCAGCUACUUCUACUUGUUGAACCUCAGAUUCCACAGUGGCUUGCUCGUCUACUCGCAUCAACACAAUACAUACAUAGUAUAGCAAAAAUUAACAAUGCACCAAACAUAUAAAUAAAAUACACAGUAAAAAUCUACAUAUUAAAAUGAAAUCAUAGGAACUGGAAUCACUAAAUUUGGAGUUAUAGAAUUCAAGUUAUGAAUUUCCUAAGGUUUAAUGAGAUUAAAAUAGGAUUAGAUGAGAAAUUAAUUUUCUUACUGCUUUCAUGUCAAAACAGAGACAUUAGAUGAUAGAGAAUAUUAUUACAAAAUUUUAGAAAUUGGAAUGGUUCAAUUUGGAUCAAAAAUGGAAUUUCUAUGAAUUUUACAAGUUUCUAGAUUUGUUUUUGUAUUAAAAAUGAAUUUCUAUAUGUAUUUCUCUAUUUUAUUCUCCUCUGGACUGGGCGACAAAAUUGCAGAAAGCGCGAGGGCUCUGGCGCAAAUGUUACUAAGACUCAGAAAACCCACAAGGUGGACUGCGGGUUGAUUUCCAGAGAGGUGAGGGUCUCUUUAGAAAAAUUGAACCGCGAAGGGGUACGGGCGGUUCUCGGCCGUUGGAUCACCAGCCGAGGGCUCAGAUUAGAUCGUUCAUCCCCGAACCGGUAUGCAUCGCCAGCCGCUGGAUCCUAUAUCUACGGCCCUAAUUUAAAGCGACGAACAGGUAAACUAUUCUCUAAUCCUAGCCAUCCGUGAACAAAUCAACGGCCUGGAGUCCUCGUUGAUCCGCACCCUAUCUAGACCGCCGAAUCGCGAUCGGACGAUGGACGCAUAUCCAACAACAGUGGACCGCCCAACCGGCGGCGCGGACGCCAGGCGCGGUGGCGCCAUGGCCGGACCUCCGAGCGCGGUGAUUUAGCGCCCGAAAUUCUAUGUCGUUGGGUGCUACGCAAUCAUAAAGAUCAGGCGGACUCUGUGGUGGAAUCAAUUCCGAGAAUCGACGAUGGGUCAGGCCGAAUCACGGCAGCAUUCAAGUCGCGGCAGAGAUGCACGUCGGUCAAAUAGUUUUCGGCAUCCUACAACCCAAUUGAUCCAAGCAUCCCAGCACACUAGGGCAACGCAUAGAGGGGACGAAGGCGGACAGGGCAAGGGUCCUCAUACCAAGUAUUCCGCCGCAGGGAGGUACGACCACGCCGGGGCGAGGUUCCGCGGUGUCCAUGUAGCGACGACGAGAAAUUCCGCCCGCACGAAGCCGCCUCCGCCCAAUCGCCUGCCACCGAACGGUUCCUCGCGUUGCGCCCGCCGAUUCCCAACGCCAAACAGGACGUUGACCACGCACUGGUGGCGGCAGGGGACUUCCGCCGUGGAUGCGCACACCAGCUUCCUCGCCCACGCCCCUUGCCUGACCGGAGUGGAAAAACCCUGAACCCAGGUGGCUAUCGACGGUGCACGAGGUAGCGGACCAAGGGGGCGCCCCACGCUCCAGGUUUUAUGGGGAGGGCGAGCCCGGAGCGAUCGGAGCGUCCACGGCCACCUUGAGGAGCAGCACCGUUGGUUUCGCGGUUAGUUGAAGAUGCCUGACGCUUGGGUCCCACAAAUCAGUGAGGUGAGUGGGUGGCGUGCGUAUGCUUCGAGCCUGACGGCCGGGCCCCACGCGACAGCCAGUUAAGCCACGCGCGCGCGGAGGAUAGCACAGAGCCGAGGUCGGCCCGCGAGGGCGCGAUUACUGGGCCAAAAUUAGCCUUCACGGCCCACCCGAGUUAGGAGUCCUUUUUCUUUAUUCUUUUCUCCAUUUUUCUUAUUUUUGAACCUAAAUUUGAAUUUCAAAUUUGUGGUGAAUCUUGUACUCUAACUCCCGAGUAUAUGAUUUGAAUAAAUCAUUAUGGAAUAAAUUUAUCUGCUUAUAACUUUAUUAUUGUAUUGUAUAGUACCUUCUCCUUCCUCCUCUAUUUCAAACCCUAAUUCUCAAGUUAGGAUUUAAACUUCAUCUGAAGACAAUUAUUAUAUUUUAAUUAAUAUUAUUGUGAAUAUUAUCUGAUGCACAAACAAAACUCCAAUAUAAUGCACUUUCUUUUAUUUUAGUGUCAUUGGUUAAAUUUAAUCACUCUUAAUUUUGUGUAUGCUCUUUUCAUGAUGCAAAUAAGGCACAUAAAAUGAGAAGAUCUCUCUAUAUUCUUUAUUUAGAAUUUUGAGUAUUACAAAUCCUACCCCCCUUAAAAAGAAUCUCGUCCUCGAGAUUUAGGAAGAUCUAGGGAAAAGGUGGGGAAAAUCUGUACGAAGCUCUUCUUCUCUUUCCCAAGUUGCUUCAUCUUCACCGUGGUGGCUCCAUUGCACUUUGCACAUCUUUAUCAUCUUAUUUCUCGUAACUCAAGUCAAAGUAUUUAGAAUCUGGAUAGGGUGCUCAGCAUAAGUCAGGUCAUCUUGAAUACUAAGUCCUCCAUUGGUAGUUGCUCCUCAGGUACCCUGAGACACUUCUUUAGUUGGGACACAUGAAAGACAUCAUGUACAUCUGAGAGGUGAUCGGGUAGUUCUAGUUGAUAUGCAACUUCUCCCACUUGCUUUAAGAUCAAGAAAGGUCCAAUGAAGCGAGGGGACAACUUUCCUUUAACUUUAAAUCUUCUCAUACCCCGGAUUGGUGACACCUUUAGAUACACGUGAUCACCCUCCUUAAACUCUAGUAGUCUUCUCCGGGUAUCAACAUAGCUCUUCUGUCUUGAUUGUGCAAUUCUCAAAUUCUCUCUUAUCAUUCGCACUUGUUCUUCUGCCUCUUGUAUAAGUUCAGGUCCAAAUAUAUGUUUUCCUCGAGUCUGGUCCAAAAUAGAGGAGUCCUGCAUUUCCUGCCAUAUAAAGCCUCAAACGGUGACAUUUUCAAACUGGCCUGAUAGCUAUUAUUAUAGGAGAACUCAGCAUAUGGUAGACUCUUAUCCCAACUACCACCAUGCUUAAGAGCACCAGCUCUUAACAUAUCUUCCAGUACCUGGUUAGUCCUCUCAGUCUGCCCAUCAGUCUGUGGAUGGUAAGCCGAACUAAAAUUCAAUCUCGUAUCCAAGGACUCGUGUAACUUCUUCCAAUACCGAGAGGUAAACUGUGAUCCCCGGUCUGACACAAUCUUCUUUGGCACACCAUGUAGGCAUACAAUCCGUGUCAUGUACAACUCUGCCAACUUGGCUCCUGAAUAUGUGGUCUUCACUAGAAUGAAGUGGGCUACUUUAGUUAGCCUGUCCACAAUCACCCAUAUAGAAUCGUAUCCAGCAGAUGUGCGGGGUAAUCCAACAAUGAAGUCCAUGUCAAUCUCUUCCCAUUUCCACUCAGGUAUCUUUAGUGGAUGCAGUAGUCCGGCUGGCCUUUGGUGUUCAGCCUUAACUCUUUGGCACACAUCGCACAUAGCCACAUGUGCAGCCACAUCUCUCUUCAGUCCAUACCACCAAUACUUUUGCUUCAAAUCCUGAUACAUCUUAGUGCUCCCAGGGUGAAUAGAAUAAACCGAGUCAUGUGCCUCCUUCAAUAUAGUUUCCCGAAGACUAUCAAUAUCGGGAACACAGAUCCGAUUCUUGAACCAUAUCGUGCCUUGCUCAUCUUCUGUGAACUCUGGGCCUCUACCCUCUGUUAUCAGAUCCUUGAUCUCCUGAAUCUUAGCAUCACCAACCUGACCUUUACGAAUUUCUUGCUCCAAGGUAGGUUCCAAUUCAAUGGUAAUUCCUUCUGUAUGUGUAACAAUUCCCAGGUUGAGUCUCUCAAAAUCUUUUGCUAAUUCAUCAGGUAGCUGGACAACGAAAGCGGAGUGAACAUGCUCCUUCCGGCUCAAGGCAUCUGCAACCAAAUUCGCCUUGCCUGGGUGAUAGUGAAUUUCCAAAUCAUAAUCCUUAAUGAGCUCCAACCAACGGCGUUGCCUAAGGUUGAGAUCCUUCUGAGUAAAUAUGUACUUCAAACUCUUAUGAUCCGUGUAUACUUGGCACUUAGUUCCCAUAAUGUAGUGUCUCCAAAUCUUAAGUGCAUGCACAACUGCUGUCAGCUCCAAGUCAUGAGUGGGGUAGUUCAAUUCGUGUUUCCGCAACUGACGAGAUGCAUAGGCAAUCACAUGACCUUCUUGCAUGAGCACACAUCCAAGUCCUUGGCCACAUGCAUCACAAUAAAUGUCAAAUCCCUUCUGCAGAUCUGGCAUAAUCAAUACUGGUGGUGACAUUAGUCUCUCCUUCAAUUUAUCAAAGCUCUCUUGGCAUUUCUCAUCCCACUUGAAUUCUCUUCCUUUUUCCAACAGCGAGGUCAUAGGCUUGGCAAUCUUAGAGAACCCUUCAAUGAAUCUCCGAUAAUAUCCUGUGAGUCCCAAGAAACUCCGAAUCUCCGUAACUGUAGUGGGCACUCUCCACUCCAUUAUCUCCUUCACUUUAGCAGGAUCCACUGCUAUUCCUCCAUUAGAAAUAAUAUGACCAAGGAAUGGCACCUUGUCAAUCCAAAACUCGCACUUGCUGAACUUAGCAUAGAGUUGAUUAUCUUGCAGCUUUUGUAGCACCAACCUUAGAUGUUGUUCAUGAUCACUUUCAUUCCUAGAAUAGAUCAGAAUAUCGUCGAUAAACACCACGACGAAUCUGUCCAAAUACUCCAUAAACACUUUGUUCAUCAGAUUCAUGAAAUAAGCCGGUGCAUUGGUUAAUCCAAAUGACAUAACAGUAAACUCAUAUAAUCCAUAUCGGGUUGAGAAAGUCGUCUUAGGAAUAUCUGAGGGUCUAAUCUUCAUCUGAUGGUAUCCCGAUCGGAGAUCAAUCUUCGAGAAUACCCUGGCUCCUCUCAUCUGAUCAAACAAAUCCUCAAUACGGGGUAAUGGAUACUUGUUCUUCACCGUAACAUCAUUAAGGGAUCUAUAAUCCACACACAUCCGCUGCGAUCCAUCCUUCUUCUGUACAAACAGUACCGGUGCUCCCCAUGGUGAGGAACUCGGACGAAUGUACCCAGCCUCUUGUAACUCAGUUAACUGCUUCUUAAGUUCCUUCAACUCCUCUACGGACAUCCUAUAUGGCCGUUUAGAAAUAGGGGCGGUUCCAGGUAAGAGAUCAAUAACAAACCCAACUUCUCUAUCAGGUGGCAUCCCUGGUAACUCCUCUGGAAAGACAUCCAGAAAAUCUCUAACCACCCGGAUGUUGUCACCAACAAACUCCUCAGGCAUAAAGAACAUUGCACGCAUGGAUGAGGAGGUUACUGCAAUAUUAACUUGAAAUCUUUCUCCUUUAGUGGUAGUGAGCUCUACGGUACCCUUAGCACAGUGUAUAUACUGCCUUUGCCUUUCUCAACCAUGACAUACCAAGGAUCACGUCUAUAGUGCUCUCUUCUAACACUAUAGGGGUCGUCCAUCUGGGUUAGAAACAUAGGGUAAGAAAGGAAGAAUUGUAGACAAGGCGAAUAAUUACGAGGAAUGUUACUGCAGGGGAUUUAUUAGCUAAGUAGAUUAGUGUGUCACCUACUAACGCUAAUACAUUACCCUAUGGUGGUACAUGCUAAGAUGCCCGUCUAUACUAUUUCAAUCAAUCAAAGAAGCAAAUCAGGCAUUGAUCAUCAGAACAAUCAACCAACAUUUUUAAUAGAGAAAAUAAUUUUAAUUUCAUCUUAGGUUCCCUAUCUCUGAAAAAGUUCAUAGUUGUAGGAUUCCAAGGUGUGAAAUCCAUCUUGUCUUAAAGUAGAAAAGAUAAGAAUGGUCAGAGUGGAACCAUAGAAGGUGAGACAGGAUCAAGAUAAGUAUAGAAAGAAUCAGAGUAAGGUUAGUAUAGAAUGAAUAAGAAUAAGAUAAGUAGGUAAGGGUUUGUCAUUUUCUAUCUAGGUUUCGUCCUACAGUCAACAUUUGCUCUGAUACCACUUCUGUCACACCCGGAUUUAAGGAACAAAGCCGGGUGCAUCUCAUACAUGCGCCAAGAAGACAACAUAUAUAAUAACAGAGUGUAUAGAGAUAAAUGUCAUAAUACAUCAGAGUAUUUAUUACAUAGCGGAAGUCUUAUUACAAAAUAAAGAUAAAUAUAAAACGAACUAAGGAUCGUCGGCGCCAAUGUCGACUGAGAAACGCCACCUAGAUCAAGUCGAAUGCCUCAGUGUUAGGCGACUCCUCUUCGACCACCUGUUCUUCUCCUGUGGGGGGUGUGAGACAGCAAGAGUGAGCUCACAUACGUUCAUAGCUCAACAAGUCAUGGGGAAUAAUGUGACACGAACUCACCAAAGGUGGGAGUUCAUGAAGUGUAAGGCUAAUCAAUGAAAUAGAGGCUGAGGCUGAGCAUUGCUUUUAUAAGUUGGUCAAAAUUUUAUUAGCAAUUACUAAGUGUAAGUAAAUACCAAAUCUUAAUAAUAAUAAAGAAAAGUAUUAGUAAAAUAAUCCCAAAUGCGAUGCAAAUGUCAAAUUAAAUUUAAGUUCCAUAAAUUAAUCAUGUGAGGGUCCGAGCCGCUCAUGACCGUGAGCACGGCUAGUAUACCAGUUUUACACUCUGCAGAGGUUGCGCAUCUUUACCCACAAGUCAUGUUACCCAUCUGCCAAGAGAUGGCCAAUCCCAUACACCUCUACCGAGGAGGCGAGGCAGGGUAACACUACGAGGCCUUUACAAAGUUCCACUAGCUUCAGAAAUCCCGCUACAGUUUAUAGGAAGCUCCAAUGCAGGGUUCUUGCCUGACCGCCAUCGCAGCAAAAUCAACCAAGGACCUCCCUACACUGACCACUCCCCUACUGCCCUUGCCCCUUUCGGGUAAGGAAGACCUCCACUAGCUUUCCUAGUUAAUCAGCCAAGGGCGUCCCAUUAUACCCUUGUGGUAGCACUGUUUUCCCGGGUGGUCGCUCCAUGUUCCCAUUAAUUUAAUGAUCUUAACAUGAACAGUAAUAAUAACAAGAUAAUAACAGAAUAAUCAUGAAUAGUGUAUCUUCAUACCCAAAUCCACAUAAAGCAAUAGCAGGUACUACCCAAAGAAAUAUUUCAGUGGUGAACAAGGUAUAAAGAUAGCCAAAACUAGGGUAACCUAUUGGGUCCCAUCAAAAUUAACCUAUGCAGAUCAUUAUAAUUAAUAAGAACAUGGCUGGGAAAAGUAAGUGAUCAAGGGCACAACUUGCCUUCAAUGAGCUCCUGCUCAGCUACUUCUACUUGUUGAACCUCAGAUUCCACAGUGGCUUGCUCGUCUACUCGCAUCAACACAAUACAUACAUAAUAUAGCAAAAAUUAACAUUGCACCAAACAUAUAAAUAAAAUACACAGUAAGAAUCUACAUAUUAAAAUGAAAUCAUAGGAACUGGAAUCACUAAAUUUGGAGUUAUAGAAUUCAAGUUAUGAAUUUCCUAAGGUUUAAUGAGAUUAAAAUAGGAUUAGAUGAGAAAUUAAUUUUCUUACUGCUUUCAUGUCAAAACAGAGACAUUAGAUGAUAGAGAAUAUUAUUACAAAAUUUUAGAAAUUGGAAUGGUUCAAUUUGGAUCAAAAAUGAAAUUUCUAUGAAUUUUACAAGUUUCUAGAUUUGUUUUUGUAUUAAAAAUGAAUUUCUAUAUGUAUUUCCCUAUUUUAUUCUCCUCUGGACUGGGCGACAAAAUUGCAGAAAGCGCGAGGGCUCUGGCGCAAAUGUUACUAAGACUCAGAAAACCCACCAAGUGGACUGCGGGUUGAUUUCCAGAGAGGUGAGGGUCUCUUUAGAAAAAUUGAACCGCGAAGGGGUACGGGCGGUUCUCGGCCGUUGGAUCACCAGCCGAGGGCUCAGAUUAGAUCGUUCAUCCCCGAACCGGUAUGCAUCGCCAGCCGCUGGAUCCUAUAUCUACGGCCCUAAUUUAAAGCGAUGAACAGGUAAACUAUUCUCUAAUCCUAGCCAUCCGUGAACAAAUCAACGGCCUGGAGUCCUCGUUGAUCCGCACCCUAUCUAGACCGCCGAAUCGCGAUCGGACGAUGGACGCAUAUCCAACAACAGUGGACCGCCCAACCGGCGGCGCGGACGCCAGGCGCGGUGGCGCCAUGGCCGGACCUCCGAGCGCGGUGAUUUAGCGCCCGAAAUUCUAUGCCGUUGGGUGCUACGCAAUCAUAAAGAUCAGGCGGACUCUGUGGUGGAAUCAAUUCCGUGAAUCGACGAUGGGUCAGGCCGAAUCACGGCAGCAUUCAAGUCGCGGCAGAGAUGCACGUCGGUCAGAUAGUUUUCGGCAUCCUACAACCCAAUUGAUCCAAGUAUCCCAGCACACUAGGGCAACGCAUAGAGGGGACGAAGGCGGACAGGGCAAGGGUCCUCAUACCAAGUAUUCUGCCGCAGGGAGGUACGACCACGCCGGGGCGAGGUUCCGCGGUGUCCAUGUAGCGACGGCGAGAAAUUCCGCCCGCACGAAGCCGCCUCCGCCCAAUCGCCUGCCACCGAACGGUUCCUCGCGUUGCGCCCGCCGAUUCCCAACGCCAAACAGGACGUUGACCACGCACUGGUGGCGGCAGGGGACUUCCGCCGUGGAUGCGCACACCAGCUUCCUCGCCCACGCCCCUUGCCUGACCGGAGUGGAAAAACCCUGAACCCAGGUGGCUAUCGACGGUGCACGAGGUAGCGGACCAAGGGGGCGCCCCACGCUCCAGGUUUUAUGGGGAGGGCGAGCCCGGAGCGAUCGGAGCGUCCACGGCCACCUUGAGGAGCAGCACCGUUGGUUUCGCGGUUAGUUGAAGAUGCCUGACGCUU
rnacentral:lncRNA from 1 species